GUUCGUCUGUGUUUGCUCAUUGUCCCGAGCAGGAGCCUCAAAUCGGAGGAGCAGGGAUGGUGGGAGUCGGCCUGACAUCUGAACAGUUGAAACAGCUGCAGCGAUUCGAUCCGUUGGUGGUGCCAUCACGGGACACCGACUUUGAUUGUCUCAGAGACAGCAGAACAGAAGACAUGAUCCGGCUGGCCAAUGAGGACUGUAUUAAAAGUGAGAAUACUGCACAAUUUGGGUACCUUUUAUCACCUGGUGGAUCACAUACAGGUUAUUAAGAGAUGUGAGUGGUGAGAAAGAGAAAAAAGCAUCCUCUGAGAGCUGGGAAGUGGCUGGGCACUUAGAGCUAAGCCUUGGCAUCCUACCACCGAACAGAAGCAGGUCCAGAGAACACCGACCUCAGACCAUGCAGCUGUGACUGGGCCAGAUCAAGACAAAAAAGACCUCUUCACAGUUAAAAAUCUGAAAUCGUCCAAACCACAAACGUGACCAAACACCACAUCUCUCCCUGUAGUGGCCAGUUUAAGUGGACUGCCUUUUUAAAAUUAAUUGUAACGGUGGGCUUGCUUCAUCCUACCUGCUUUUUUAGGUAAGAUAUAUUAAAAUACUCAAUACCCAGCCAUAGUUUAAAAGCUGUCUCAUUUAAUGUUAAUAAUAUCCGUUCUGUAAAUUCACAUCUACCCCAAAUUGAGCCAUGGGCAUAUAAAGUGGAUAAAUGGAAAUAACUGGCUAAUAGUUUUUUUUUCUCAUAGGUUUCCAUUAAGAAUUUCUCGAAUCUGUUGUAUCCAUCAGGAAUGCCAGGUCUCGUGGAUCAGGUGAGCUUCAGAAGGCCUCUGCUUUGAGGAAGCCUUUCUCACACAGCCUUCUCUGAGGCUGGGUUAGGCAUUUCUCUGUCUACACCCCUCGUACCUCUGUCUCUUGCUGUCUUGGCACUUGACGCAUCCCUCCAGGUUACCCUAUGGGCAUGCCCUUGACCCCUGCCCCCAGGCUUGAAGGCAGGAACCCUGUGCUUUCUGUCAGAGCUUCAGACAGAUCUUCCUUACAU
rnacentral:lncRNA from 1 species